AUACACACCUGGCAAGGGAGAUACCAUGAUCAUGAAGGUGGUUUUCUCAGGGCGAGGCUUAUCUAUUGUGCUCUGGAUGGAGCUGGCCCCUAUGAUUUCCCCAAAUGUGGGAAACUCAACUGCAUAAUUUUUGGUAGUGGGGGAUUAUGUAUACACAUUCCCCUG
rfam:Tupaia chinensis contig240773, whole genome shotgun sequence.